rnacentral:rRNA from 1 species
AUGAAACUCGCAAGGAAAGUUCCAACCGAUCGUCUACUUAAGUACGAGAGAGUUUUCAAAGCACAAAAACGUAUCCCUAUGUCUGUUUUCAAAGCACAAAGAGUUCUUGACGAGAUUCGAUGGCGUUACUAUGAGGAAACUGUUAUGAUACUGAACCUCAUGCCCUAUCGAGCAUCUUAUCCCAUCUUAAAGUUGGUUUAUUCGGCAGCCGCAAAUGCUACUCAUUAUAGGGAUUUCGACAAAGCGAUUUUACAUAUUAAAAUAAAAAUCUUAAAAAUCAAAAAUUUGACCUGUUAG